rnacentral:rRNA from 1 species
GACGAACCGUCCGAACGUUAUUCGGAAUCACUGGGCUUAAAGGGUGCGUAGGCGGCGUAGUAAGUAGGGUGUGAAAUCCCUCGGCUCAACCGAGGAACUGCGCCCUAAACUACUAUGCUUGAGGGAGAUAGAGGUGAGCGGAACUUAGGGUGGAGCGGUGAAAUGCGUUGAUAUCCUAAGGAACACCGGUGGCGAAAGCGGCUCACUGGAUCUCUUCUGACGCUGAGGCACGAAAGCUAGGGUAGCAAACGGG